AAUGUCUUUCCUGUUUUAUCCAACAUUAAUGAGCAGGGAAGCCAGGCCACGAUAUCUAGAUCUGCAGAAACAGUUUUGUUCUUGUCCUUCAUUUGUUUGCAGAUCUAACUGCUAUGAGCAAAGGGCUUUGAAUUUUACAGCCCUUUGGAAAGUGUUAUUAAAAAAAAAAUGAUAAAACCCAAAUGGAAAGAAUACUCGACUGCAGUAGUUGUGCUUGAAACUCAUUUAACAGUAGAACUGCUUUUUCCAUCAAGCAUUUUCCAAAAGUAUUUCUUAGCUGAGAGUGCAAGCCUCUCUUCAGUACAUGGCGAUGGACGACUCCAACUUGUGGUCUGAGAAGGAUUGGAAAAUGUAAACAUACGGCAGUUUGGCAGUGACCUCUGACCCUGGGCCCAUGGGACCACACACAUGGAUGAGGAACAGUUUGCUUGAGAUGAAUGUUUGACGUGCCAUUUAAGGGUUUUAAAAUCAGCAUGGAUCAGAGCGACAAGGACAAGGCGUUCACAUCUCCCCACUUGUAAUCGUGUUUUAUGUCUUCUUUUUUUAUGUUCGCAUUGUAAUUCUUUCUCUCUUUCCUCCAGAGUGUCUGUCUGUUGUAAUAAGCAGUUUCCUGUAUAAAUCACAGCCCACUGGAGUCGGCUCAAAUACUCACUCCUAAAUCGAGAAGCAUUUACCACUUAAGUGGGACUGUAAACUUCAACUGUAAAAUGAAAAGCUAUUUAAUGUACUUUUUAUAGCAGCCUUUCAGACAAAACAUAAUUUAGUGGCAUAAACUAGCAUAUUCCAUCUACUCUAUGCUCACUUAUGGGCCAUUCACACAGAGUACAUUUUUGUCAUUUAAAAACAUUAGAUGCUGAUAAAAUUGAUGCGUUUUUACAGAUUACAGCAUUCACACUGGGAGCAGGCCAUGCAGUCACUUCUCGUUCACCAAAAAGGAGCAACAACAUUGCACGUUCAAGUGGACGGGCUGACGUCUUCCCAUGGCUGGGCUGGCUGAGAGAGGAGGAAAAAUACUGGCGUGUUUGACAUUUCCCUGAGUGCUUCAUACCAGCUCACUUCAGCACUGCACCAAGGCAUCUGUAAAGAGUCAGGAGUAAAUCACAGCUGGGAUACAACGUAUUGCCAAAUGGGCGCAGGUUUGUGAGUGCACUUGUACAAAGGGGACAUGAAAAAUGUACUGAAUGUUCUGGAUUAUUCAGAAAUCAUGAUGGCAUUUGGGGAGUCACACAAGGGAAAAAUUAUCCUGCUUUAUCAAAAUGUCCUUAGUUUAGUGGAUUCUGUCAAGCCCUCAGAUGUUAUCAUGUGUUAAAUAAUGCAGGGAAUAUUAUCACAUGUUUGAAAGCAAAAUACAGAAGUGAUUUUAACCACCUUUAUACUGACAUAUUUUUGAGACUUUAACCUAACCCCAACUCCUAAACAUAGUAAGGGAUUUAGUUACCAAAAAACUCUUAAAAAUGAAGCUUCUUUAGAUUAUUUAAAUUGUUAAAAGGUUCUUAGAACUAAAAAAAAAAAAAAAGAUGCUAAGAAACAAAUGGUUCUUUUAAGAACUGUUCACUGAAAGAUUCUUUGGGCAACCCAUAAUGGUUCUUCUAUCGCAAGGAGGCAAAACCUUUACUUUUAAGAGUGUUUAAAAUGAAAUUGAAAUCAAAUAAAAUGAAAUGAAAUACACUGAAGGCAUUUUUUGAGUGUGAACCAUCCUUUUAGGGUUGAACAAUUUUGGCAAAAACUUGAAAAUUGUGAGUGUUUGCACUCAAGUAUAUUCUUUACACUCAAACCACUUAAAGUAACCAUAAAGCGAAUAGAGUUAAAAAAGAGUUAUUAGUCCAUAUCACAAUCCUGGUUAGAGACAUUGUGCAGUCCUACCUGAAAUAUAUAUUUCAAGUUUACUGAAGCCGUGCAUUGUUGUUCAUUUCACAUACUAAGAUGUUAGCCAAUCAUAAAAAAGUGACUAUUCACAUAGAGUCUUGAAGGACGAGCUGUUUAACAAAAAGGAUCGGCACAAGGGUGAAAAGUGUGAAAUUAAAUUGCUAUGACAUUUUUUUGUGCAAAAACUCUGAGUAACAUUUUUAAGUGGUUUGACGACGGAAAAUAAUACUAAAAAAGCAUUUGUAGCAGAAUACGGCCCCUUUAAUAUUUGCUGGUAUGUGUAUAUACUCGCAUGCCUCAGUCUUUCUCUGUCUGUCUGAAAUACAAACAUUUUGUGAACUCUUGACUCCUGACUAGCUCUCAUGUGAUUUAAUUCAUAAAACUAUUCAUCUGCGUACAACUUAAUUUGGUCAAACUUCCAUGAAAGGUCAUGCAAUCAUAAAAACAUUCCUCUCUUUUUAGGAUAAAUAAAAAUGUAGAGAGUUAAAAAAAGGCAUAUUUAUUUUCACUUGGGGAGGCUGUUCCUGGGGUACAUGACACUCAGAAUUCCUCCCAGAGCAGUUCACCUUCUUUUGACCAUGAAAAAAUGUGGCGAUGUUGAAACACCUCAAUUUCACUCAUCCUCCUUCAUACAGAAUAACAAGAAAGAAAAGAUUAGAUCAGCAUGUGGGUGUGAAACCCUAAAGUUGAGUGAAGCCACUUGAGGAAAAUGUGACUUGGAUGAAACUGAUUGUGCAAUGUGUCUUUGGCUCUCAUUCCUCUGUCUGUGUUUAUGGGUGUGUUUUGCACAGAACUGUGUGUAUGGACAAAAAUAAAGGUUCCUAAUUUUUUUUUUUUUUUUGUUAGUUGGUAGCGAUGCCACAGAAAGAUUUUUGGUUCCUCAAAGAACGUUUCAUCAUCAAAGAAGAUUCCAUGGAUACGUACGUACUUUAUUUUAUUUUUUUUUUUUUGGUUAGCGAUGCCACAGAAAGAUUUUUGGUUCCUCAAAGAACGUUUCAUCAUCAAAGAAGAUUCCAUGGAUACUAUAGGUUCCUGAUGGAAUCACAGAUGCCAAUAAAGAACCUUUAUUUUUAAGAGUGUACAUCAGUAUGUUUUUAAUUGCCACUUAAUUAUUCUCCAGCAUCAGUGAGUGUGUGUCAGAGAAGCAGGGUGGGGUAGGGUCGUGCAAAUGGAGACGGGUGGAGGCAGGGUGAUGUCACUGCUCUUUCGGCCCAUGGGGCGUAUGGAAGGACUACAUGAGGACACUGAGGGACGUGUUUCAUCUUCACCAGCACAUGUGUGUACACAUUAAGCAUGUGCUCGGCUUUAAAAAGAUCAUAUCAUACUUUAUUAUUUAAUGUUCCCCUCUGAGGUCCACGGUGUUGAUCUUGUCAGUGAAAUUAUGUACAGUGAAAUGUUGGUUGCUGAAGGGCUGUCUGAUUUCAUCUGAUUGGUUUCACAUAAUCCAGUCAUGUGUUGAGGAUUGAGCUGCUUAAGCUAAAAGAGCUGAACUGUAAACUCAAGCACUUUGCAAGUGGGGUUGUUAGCUCAUUCAAAGGAGACUAAUUGGAGAUAUUGAUAACAAACAUCAUAUCAUAACUCACACUACCAUUUAAAAGUUUAGGGUUGUAAGGUUUUUCUGAAUGUUUUUGAAAGAAGUUUCUUGUGAGCACCAAUGCUGCAUGUAGAAUAGUAAAUUCAGUUAAACAGUAAUAUUGUGAAAUGUUAUUAAAAUGUAAAAUAGAUACUGUGAUACACUUAUUUCAGGUUUCUUUGAUGAAUAUAUAGUUCAAAAGAACAGCAUUUAUUUUACAGAAAUAUUUUGUAACAAUGUAAAUGUCUUAACUGUCACUUUUGAUCAAUUUAAUGCAUCCUUGCUGAAUAAAAUGAUUAAUUUCUUAAAAUUUUUUUAGUGAUUACACAGAUGAACAUGAAAGUUAUCUUCUGUUUAAAGAGUGUAGCUCAUGUUUCAAAUACACUGUUGCC
rnacentral:lncRNA from 1 species